rnacentral:rRNA from 1 species
UACGUAGGGGGCAAGCGUUGUCCGGAAUCAUUGGGCGUAAAGAGCGUGUAGGCGGCCCGGUAAGUCCGCUGUGAAAGUCAAGGGCUCAACCCUUGAAUGCCGGUGGAUACUGCAGGGCUAGAGUCCGGAAGAGGCGAGUGGAAUUCCUGGUGUAGCGGUGAAAUGCGCAGAUAUCAGGAGGAACACCGAUGGCGAAGGCAGCUCGCUGGGACGGUACUGACGCUGAGGCGCGAAAGCGUGGGGAGCAAACAGG